rnacentral:rRNA from 1 species
AGCAGCCGCCGCGGGAAUACGUAGGGUGCAAGCGUUAAUCGGAAUUACUGGGCGUAAAGCGUGCGCAGGCGGUUUGUUAAGACAGAUGUGAAAUCCCCGGGCUCAACCUGGGAACUGCAUUUGUGACUGGCAAGCUAGAGUAUGGCAGAGGGGGGUAGAAUUCCACGUGUAGCAGUGAAAUGCGUAGAGAUGUGGAGGAAUACCGAUGGCGAAGGCAGCCCCCUGGGCCAAUACUGACGCUCAUGCACGAAAGCGUGGGGAGCAAACAGGAUUAGAUACCCCCGUAGUCCCUGUCUCUUAUAC